rnacentral:misc_RNA from 1 species
GAUGGCCCAAGUGAGGGUGUUCCAAGGGUUCUAGCUUGCUUUAGCAAUAAUCUCCUACGCCAUGAGCCACUGAAGCUUGUGGAUGGUGGCCAAUCCCAAAGAACUUUUAUAUACAUCAAAGAUGCGAUCGAAGCAGUUCUUUUGAUGAUUGAAAACCCAGCGAGGGCCAAUGGCCAUAUCUUCAAUGUGGGCAACCCCAACAAUGAAGUAACAGUGAAGCAGCUCGCCGAAAUGAUGACCGAGGUAUAUGCAAAGGUAAGCGGGGAACCUUCGCUCGAGAAACCAACAAUCGAUGUAAGCUCUGAAGAAUUCUAUGGAGUGGGUUAUGAUGACAGUGACAAGAGAAUU